GUGCUCAGGCAGCGCGUCUGAUAGAUUGGAAUCGAUACAGGGAAGAUUAGCACGGCCCCUGCAAACAGAUGACACGCAAACUAGCAUAUCCUCUGCGU
rnacentral:snRNA from 1 species